CCUACGGGAGGCAGCAGUGAGGAAUAUUGGUCAAUGGACGAGAGUCUGAACCAGCCAAGUAGCGUGAAGGAUGACUGCCCUAUGGGUUGUAAACUUCUUUUAUAUGGGAAUAAAACGUUCCACGUGUGGGAUUUUGUAUGUACCAUAUGAAUAAGGAUCGGCUAACUCCGUGCCAGCAGCUGCGGUAAUACGGAGGAUCCGAGCGUUAUCCGGAUUUAUUGGGUUUAAAGGGAGCGUAGGUGGAUUGUUAAGUCAGUUGUGAAAGUUUGCGGCUCAACCGUAAAAUUGCAGUUGAAACUGGCAGUCUUGAGUACAGUAGAGGUGGGCGGAAUUCGUGGUGUAGCGGUGAAAUGCUUAGAUAUCACGAAGAACUCCGAUUGCGAAGGCAGUUCACUGGACUGCAACUGACACUGAGGCUCGAAAGUGUGGGUAUCAAACAGGAUUAGAUACCCCUGUAGUC
rnacentral:rRNA from 1 species